rnacentral:rRNA from 1 species
UACAGAGGUCUCAAGCGUUGUUCGGAUUCAUUGGGCGUAAAGGGUGCGUAGGCGGCGCGGUAAGUCGGGUGUGAAAUCUCGGAGCUUAACUCCGAAAACUGCAUUCGAUACUGCCGUGCUUGAGGACUGGAGAGGAGACUGGAAUUUACGGUGUAGCGGUGAAAUGCGUAGAUAUCGUAAGGAAGACCAGUGGCGAAGGCGGGUCUCUGGACAGUUCCUGACGCUGAGGCACGAAGGUCAGGGGAGCAAACGGGG